UCCGGGUUGGACCCGGCGGUCCCGCCAGACAUGGUAACUGGCAGCGAGGGUUGCGCUCGUUUCGGGACUUAACCCAACACCUCACGGCGCGAGCUGACGACAGCCAUGCAGCAUCUGUGCACGCUCCCUUGCGGGUCCUUCCGCUUUCACGGUCGUACCACGUGCAUGUCAAGGGUAGGUAAGGUUUUUCGCGUUGCAUCGAAUUAAACCACAUCAUCCACCGCUUGUGCGGGCCCCCGUCAAUUCCUUUGAGUUUUAAUCUCGCGACCGUACUCCCCAGGCGGACGACUUCACGCGUUAGCUGCGUUACUAAGGGAUUUAACUCCCCCAACAACUAGUCGUCAUCGUUUAGGGCGUGGACUAC
rnacentral:misc_RNA from 1 species